rnacentral:rRNA from 1 species
GAUGAACGCUGGCGGCGUGCCUAAUACAUGCAAGUCGAGCGAACGGACGAGAGGCUUGCUUCUCUGAUGUUAGCGGCGGACGGGUGAGUAACACGUGGAUAACCUACCUAUAAGACUGGGAUAACUUCGGGAAACCGGAGCUAAUACCGGAUGAUAUUUUGAACCGCAUGGUUCAAAAGUGAAAGACGGUCUUGCUGUCACUUAUAGAUGGAUCCGCGCUGCAUUAGCUAGUUGGUAAGGUAACGGCUUACCAAGGCGACGAUGCAUAGCCGACCUGAGAGGGUGAUCGGCCACACUGGAACUGAGACACGGUCCAGACUCCUACGGGAGGCAGCAGUAGGGAAUCUUCCGCAAUGGGCGAAAGCCUGACGGAGCAACGCCGCGUGAGUGAUGAAGGUCUUCGGAUCGUAAAACUCUGUUAUUAGGGAAGAACAUAUGUGUAAGUAACUGUGCACAUCUUGACGGUACCUAAUCAGAAAGCCACGGCUAACUACGUG